GGCUCAGUGAUCAGGAACAGGGCUCAGUGAUCAGGACCAGGGCCCAGUGAUCAGGAACAGGGGCCAGUGACUGGGUCCAGGGCUCAGUAAUCAGGACCAGGGCUCAGUGAUCAGGACCAGGGCUCAGUGAUCAGGAACAGGGGUUAGUGAUCAGGAACAGGGCUCAGUGAUCAGGACCAGCAUUCAGUGAUCAGGACCAGGGCUCAGUGAUCAGGAACAGGGCUGAGUGACCAGGACCAGGGCUGAGUGAUCAGGUCCAGGGCUGAGUGAUGAGGACCAGGGCUGAGUGAGGAGGUCCAGGGCUGAGUGAUGAGGUCCAGGGCUGAGUGACGAGGUCCAGGGCUGAGUGACGAGGACCAGGGCUGAGUGACGAGGUCCAGGGCUGAGUGACGAGGACCAGGGCUGAGUGACCAGGACCAGGGCUGAGUGAUGAGGUCCAGGGCUGAGUGACAAGGACCAGGGCUGAGUGACGAGGUCCAGGGCAAAAAACAGGAGUAGGACUCAGUGAUCAGGACUAAGGCUCAGUGAUCAAGGCUAGAAUUAAGUGAUCAGGAACAGGGACCAAGUAGUAGGACCAGAGCUCAGUGAUCGGUAAACGGGGGCGGCUCAGUAGCAGGUGCCAUCCGCCUCCGCCAUGACAACAGACACAUUGAUGUGGGUGGGUUUACCCGCCAUGCGGUCGAUGGUCUUCUGUGUGAAGGCCAGCGGCAGGGCCUCGUGGCCCACCAUGCAGGAGAAGGUCUCCCCCUUCUUCCAGUCCUCAGCUGCCACGCGCAGUAUGCUGGUUACAGCGUAGGUGGUGGUGCCCUGGCUGGGCUCCUGCCGGGAUGCCCAAGUCAGGUACUUCUCGCGGGGCAGCUCCUGUGACCCCUGCAGCCAGCGAACCAGCACAUCCUUGGGGCUGAAGCCACGUGCCAGGCACGUCAGCGUCACCAGCUCGUUCAGGGCCAGGGGUCUUCAACUCGGGGUGGGCAGCAGUGCAGGUGAAGGUCUCCCCAUGGUUCCAUGGCUGGGCACAGCCAGGCAGGACACUGGACACGCUGUAGCAGCCACAGAGGUCACGCUCAGGUGGUCCUUGAACAGCGCUCUUCCCACUUGAGGGCGUCCAGGUGAAGGUGGCACCAGAGGCAUCUCUCAGGCCGGUCAGUGUGCACGUGAGGUUCGCUUCUGAACCUAAGAGCAGGUCCUCGAGGGCCGGUCGGUGCAGCGACAGUCGGGGGUGGCAGCAUGGGGGAGGGACUUGCCGUCUGGGCACUGUGUGGCCGGCAGGGUCAGCUGGCUGCUCGUGGUGUACAGGUCCCCGGAGGCAUCCUGGCUAGGUGGGAAGUUUCUGGCGGUCACGUUCUGUCCGCUUUCGCUCCAGGUCACACUGAGUGGCUCCUGGGGGAAGAAGCCCUGGACCAGGCAUGCGACCCGGGAAGGUGUGCACGCCGCUGGUCAGAGCGCCUGAGUUCCACGACACCGUCACCGGUUCGGGGAAGUAGUCCUUGACCAGGCAGCCCAGGGCCGCUGUGGCCCCUGAGUUCCACGACACCGUCACCGGUUCGGGGAAGUAGUCCUUGACCAGGCAGCCCAGGGCCGCUGUGCCCUCACAGGACUCAGUGUCUAGUCAGACUGAUACAUGCUCAGAAAAGGAAUCAGAUUUCAAAAUGAAUAUGCAUAAUUAAAGAACCAGAGAUCAGUGAUCAGGAACAGGGAUCCGCGGUCUGGUCCAGGGCUCAGUGGUCAGGAACAGGGCCCAGUGAUCAGGAUCAGGGCUCAGUAAUCAGGACCAGGGCCCAGUGAUCAAGACCAGGGCCCAGUGAUCUGGUCCAGGGCUCAGUGAUUUGGUCCAGGGCUCAGUGAUCAGGAACAGGGGUCAUUGACUGGGUCCAGGGCUCAGUAAUCAGGACCAGGGCUCAGUGAUCAGGAAUAGGGGUUAGUGAUCAGGAACAGGGCUCAGUGAUCAGGUCCAGGGCUCAGCAAUCGGGAACAAGGGUCAGUGAUCAGGUCCAGGGGCCAGUGAUCAGGACCAGGGGCCAGUGAUCUGGUCCAGGGCUCAGUGAUUAGGAACAGAGGUCAGUGGUCAGGAUCAGAGCUCAGUUACCAGAAAUAGGGCCCAACGAUCAGGAUCAGGGCUCAGUGAUAAAUACUAGGGUUCAGUGAUCAAAAGGAGGUCUGAGUGAUUAGAAUCAGGGCCCAGUGAUCAGGACCAGGACUGGAUGAUCAGCACCAGGACUCAGAAGUCAAGAGCAGAGCCCAUUGAUCAGGACCAGGAGUCAGGGACCAGAACCAGGGGCCAUUGGUCAGAACCAGAGCCCAGUGAUUAGGAACAAGACCCAGUGAUGAGGGCCAGGGCUCAGUGAUCAGGACCAAGAUUCAGGGAUAAGAACAGGACCCAGUGAUCAGGACCAGGACCCAGUGAUCAGGACCAGGGCUCAGUGAUUGACUAUUGACUAGGACCAGAGCUCAGUUAUUGACUGUUGACUGGGACAAGGGCUCAGUGGUCAGGACCAGAGCAUAGUUAGCAGGACCAGGGCCCAGUGAUCAGGGCCAGGGCUCAUUGAUCCAGAACAUGGCCCAGUGAUCAGGAUCAAGACUCAGCGAUCCAGACCAGGACUGAGUUAGGACCAGAGCCUAGUGAUCCAGAUCAGGGCUCAGUGAUCACGACCAGGGCCCACUGAUGAGGACUGGAAUUGAGUGAUCAAGUCUAGGACUCAGGGAUCAGGACCAAGACUCAGUAAUCAGGACCAGAGUUCAGGGGUAAGGACCAGAACACAGCAUGACCAGGGCCCAGUGAUCAGGAGCAAAGCCCUUUGAUCAGGGCCAGGGUUCAUUGAUCAGGAGCAGGGUUCAGUGAUUAGGAUCAGGGCCCAGUGCCCAGUGCCCAGUGACUAGCAUCAGGAUCUAAUAAUCAGGACCAGAGCUGAGUGAUCAGGACCAGGGCUGAGUGAUCUGGACCAGGACUGAGUGAUCAGGACCAGGGCUGGGUGAUCAGGACCAGGGCUGAGUGAUGAGGACUAGGAUGGAGUGAUCAGGACCAGGGCUGUGUGAUCUGGACCAGGACUGAGUGAUCAGGACCAGGGCUGGGUGAUCAGGACCAGGGCUGAGUGAUGAGGACCAGGGCUGAGUGAUGAGGUCCAGGGCUGAGUGAUGAGGACCAGGGCUGAGUGACCAGGACCAGGGCUGAGUGACGAGGUCCAGGGCUAAGUGAGGAGGUCCAGGGCUGAGUGAUGAGGUCCAGGGCUGAGUGAGGAGGUCCAGGGCUGAGUGAUGAGGUCCAGGGCUGAGUGAUGAGGACCAGGGCUGAGUGACGAGGUCCAGGGCUGAGUGACGAGGUCCAGGGCUGAGUGACGAGGUCCAGGGCUGAGUGACCAGGACCAGGGCUGAGUGAUGAGGUCCAGGGCUGAGUGAGGAGGUCCAGGGCUGAGUGAUGAGGACCAGGGCUGAGUGAUGAGGUCCAGGGCUGAGUGAUGAGGACCAGGGCUGAGUGAGGAGGUCCAGGGCUGAGUGAGGAGGACCGGGGCUGAGUGAUGAGGACCAGGGCUGAGUGAUGAGGUCCAGGGCCAAAAACAGGAGUAGGACUCAGUGAUCAGGACUAAGGCUCAGUGAUCAAGGCUAGAAUUAAGUGAUCAGGAACAGGGACCAAGUAGUAGGACCAGAGCUCAGUGAUCGGUAAACGGGCCCACUGGUCAGGACCAGGGCCCUGUGAUCAGGAUGAGGACCCAGUGAGGAGGACCAGGGCUGUCUAGGUUAUGAGGAACAGGGAUCCCAUGUAGUUCUUAGGAGCAGGCUUCUUUGCCAUGGUCUCUGGUGAAUCCAGCAUUCAUCCUUGGGCAGGGUGAGGAAGGUGAUGGAAGCGUGGGGCUGCUUGGGGGAGCAUGGAGUUUAUUCAGGGGUGGGGACAGGCGGGCGGCUCAGUAGCAGGUGCCGUCCACCUCCGCCAUGACAACAGACACAUUGACAUGGGUGGGUUUACCCGCCAAGCGGUCGAUGGUCUUCUGUGUGAAGGCCAGCGGCAGGGCCUCGUGGCCCACCAUGCAGGAGAAGGUGUCCCCCUUCUUCCAGUCCUCGGCUGCCACGCGCAGUAUGCUGGUCACAGCGAAGGUGGUGGUGCCCUGGCUGGGCUCCUGCCGGGAUGCCCAAGUCAGGUACUUCUCGCGGGGCAGCUCCUGUGACCCCUGCAGCCAGCGAACCAGCACAUCCUUGGGGCUGAAGCCGCGUGCCAGGCACGUCAGCGUCACCAGCUCGUUCAGGGCCAGCUCCUCCGACGGCGGCGGCAGCAGGUGGACCUCGGGCCGGAAUGUGUUUCCUCAGCCUGCCUCAGUUUCCCUCUGUACUUGGCAUGAGCACUGGAGCCCAGGAUUGGGAGGGAGGAGGCAGGCCAGGAAUAUGCUUUGCAAACCAGAGCACUGAGCAGGGCCCCGAGCAGGGUCUGGACCCACCGGAUUUUGAGAGGGUGGCGGUUAGCGGGGUCUUGGACUCGGGGUAGGCAGCAGUGCAAGUGAAGGUCUUCCCAUGGUUCCAUGGCUCGGCACAGCCCGGCAGGACACUGGACACGCUCCACAGAGGUCACGCUCAGGUGGUCCUUGAACAGCGCUCUUCCCACUUGAGGGCGUCCAGGUGAAGGUGACACCUGAGGCAUCUCUCAGGCCGGUCAGUGUGCACGUGAGGUUCGCUUCUGAACCUAAGAGCAGGUCCUCGAGGGCCGGUCGGUGCAGUGACAGUCGGGGGUGGCAGCAUGAGGGAGAUGGGGUAGGUGGAGUUGAGGGAGAUGGGGUAGGUGGAGUUGAGGGAACUGGAGUGGAGAGAUGGCCUGAGCUGGUCAGCACAUACUUCCCCAUGCCCCCGCCUCGCCCCUCCUGGCCUGUCCACCACCACCUCCUGGGGCUCGGCCCGCGGUCCACUCUGGUGUGAGUGAAGGGGCGGCUCCCUGUGGGGAACACGGGUGCAGGCGCAGUGUCAGGGCACGACGGGGUGGCCCCGCCCCACUCCCCAGCCUGCCCUCUGACCUGGGCAGGGCACAGUCACAUCCUGGCUGGGAUUCGUGUAGUGCUUCACGUGGCAUGUCACGGACUUGCCGGCUAGGCAGGUCAGCUGGCUGCUCGUGGUGUACAGGUCCCCGGAGGCAUCCUGGCUGGGUGGGAAGUUUCUGGCGGUCACGCCCUGUCCGCUUUCGCUCCAGGUCACACUGAGUGGCUCCUGGGGGAAGAAGCCCUGGACCAGGCAGGCGAUGACCACGUUCCCAUCUGGCUGGGUGCUGCAGAGGCUCAGCGGGAAGACCUUGGGGCUGGUCGGGGAUGCUGGAACACAGAAUGCACUGUGAGGACGCGGCCCUCUCCUCUAUACUGCCUCUCCUCUAUACUGGAGGAACCCAGCACAGAGAGGCCUGGUGACAGCCCCAUGGUCACACAGCUCCUGCACCACAGGCCUGCAGUUGGACCCUGCUGUCUGAUCCCAGCAACAUGGUUUCUGAACAUGCUCCUUAGAUAGGGUCUCUGAUUCAGGCCAUCCCAGACACAAGUUGUAUUAAACAGGGCUCUGCCAUGGAGUGGCUGAGUCCCCUGAGCUCCCUGACCGCAGCCCCUGCUCUGGGUGGGGGACAUGUCUUGCUCUAUCCCCUGCCCCUAGAGAGGAUUUUGGUGGGGGCUCUUAGGAGAGGGUCUGGGCUCUGAGUGCUGUGUGCAUGGGGUAGGGGUGGAGUGGCUUGGCUGUGACCCCAUCCCCCUGUCCCUGGUGGCCUAUGAGGUCUCGGGACUAGAGGCCAACAGGCUAAGCCAUGUCCCUGCCAGGCCCUCCAGGACAGGGCCUGCUAUACAGGGGAGCUCUGGGCCCAGCCCACUCCAAAUUUCCUUCAGGCAGUGGGCAAGAGAGAAGACAGAAUCAUGGUGCAACAGAGCUGCGUGGCCCUCAGAACCCCUAAGAACACAGCUGGGCUCAGGGCUCUGCAGGUGGAAUCACACUCAACCCACGGCCUCUUUCCCACAUUAGCAGCCACCUCAGCCCAUCCCGCCCAGCCCAGCCCAGGCCAGUCCAGCUCAGUCCAGCCCAGCCCAGCUCAGCCCAGGCCAGUCCAGCUCAGUCCCGCCCAGUCCAGCCCAAGUCAUCCUAGCCCAUCCCAUCCCAGCCCAGGUCAGCCCAGCUUAGUCCAGCUCAGCCCAGGUCAACCCAGCCCAGGCCAGCUCAGUACAGCUCAGCCCAGCCCAGGCCAGCUUAGUACAGCUCAGCCCAGCCCAGCUCAGCCUGGCCCAGGCCAGCUCAGUACAGCUCAGCUCAGCUCAGCCCAGCCCAGCCCAGCCCAGCCCAGUCCAGCCCAGUCCAGCCCAGUUCAGCUCAGCCCAACCCAGCUCAGCUCCGCCCAGCCUAAGAGGGGGUGGUGAGGACUCACCUGAGGAGACGGUGACCAGGGUUCCCUGGCCCCAGGGGUCGAACCAGUUGUCACAUUGUGACAACAAUGCCAGGACCCCAGGCAAGAACUGGCACCCCGCUAAGUCCCUGGGACCCUCUCAGACUGAGCCCGGGGAGGGCCCGGGGGUUGUUGGACAUUGGACCCCAGAGGCCCAGGGUGGCCCUGGCCACAGAGAGACCCGUGCUGCUGGGCUCAGGAGGAAGGAGCAUCUGGAGCCCUUGCCCCUCGUCUGUGUGGCCGCUGUUGCCUCAGGGCAUCCUCCUGAGCCCCCCAGGCUGCUCCGGGGCUCUCUUGGCAGGAGACCCAGCACGCUUAUUUCCCCCCAAAAAUGCAGCAAAACCCUUCAGAGUUAAAGCAGGAGAGAGGUUGUGAGGACUCACCUGAGGAGACGGUGACCAGGGUUCCCUGGCCCCAGUAGUCAAAGUAGUCACAUUGUGGGAGGCCCCAUUAAGGGGUGCACAAAAACCUGACUCUCCGACUGUCCCGGGCCGGCCGUGGCAGCCAGCCCCGUGUCCCAAGGUCAUUUUGUCCCCAGCACAAGCAUGACUCUGCCCACCCUUUGCCCCAGCAGCAGAGUCCCAGUUCCCAAAGAAAGGCCUUCUGCUGAACGUGGUCCCAAACAGCCGGAGAAGGAGCCCCGGAGGGCCCCACAUGGCCCAGCGCAGACCAAGGAGCCCCCGGACAUUAUCUCCCAGCUCCAGGACAGAGGACGCUGGGCCCAGAGAAAGGAGGCAGAAGGAAAGCCAUCUUACCUGAAGAGACGGUGACCAUUGUCCCUUGGCCCCAGAUAUCAAAAGCAUCAC
rnacentral:lncRNA from 1 species